UGGCGACCGGCGCACGGGUGAGUAACGCGUAUGCAACUUACCUAUCAGGAGGGGGAUAACCCGGCGAAAGUCGGACUAAUACCGCAUGAAGCAGGGGCCCCGCAUGGGGAUAUUUGCUAAAGAUUCAUCGCUGAUAGAUAGGCAUGCGUUCCAUUAGGCAGUUGGCGGGGUAACGGCCCACCAAACCGACGAUGGAUAGGGGUUCUGAGAGGAAGGUCCCCCACAUUGGUACUGAGACACGGACCAAACUCCUACGGGAGGCAGCAUG
rnacentral:rRNA from 1 species